rnacentral:rRNA from 1 species
GACGAACGCUGGCGGCGUGCUUAACACAUGCAAGUCGAACGGAAAGGCCUGCUUUCCCUUGUGGAUUGCGGGUACUCGAGUGGCGAACGGGUGAGUAACACGUGAGUGAUCUGCCCCCAACUUGGGUAUAAGCCUGGGAAACUGGGUCUAAUUCCCGAUAGGACUGCAGGGUGGUGCCUGUGGUGGAAAACGAUUUUCUAGUGGUUGGGGAUGAGUUCGCGGCCUAUCAGCUUGUUGGUGGGGUAAUGGCCUACCAAGGCGGCGACGGGUAGCCGGCCUGAGAGGGUGGACGGCCACAUUGGGACUGAGAUACGGCCCAGACUCCUACGGGAGGCAGCAGUGGGGAAUAUUGCACAAUGGGCGGAAGCCUGAUGCAGCGACGCCGCGUGGGGGAUGACGGCCUUCGGGUUGUAAACUCCUUUCGACCGCGAGGAAGCCACCUGGUUGGAAGGGUGGUGACGGUAGUGGUAGAAGAAGCACCGGCUAACUACGUG